rnacentral:rRNA from 1 species
ACGGAAGGCAGCAGUGGGGGAUAUUGGGCAAUGGGCGAAAGCCUGACCCAGCAACGCCGCGUGAAGGAAGAAGGUCUUCGGAUUGUAAACUUCUUUUAUGAGGGACGAAGGACGUGACGGUACCUCAUGAAUAAGCCGCGGCUAACUACGUGCCAGCAGCCGCGGUACUACGUAGGUGGCCAUCGUUAUCCGGAUUUACUGGGUGUAAAGGGCGCGUAGGCGGGGAUGCAAGUCAGAUGUGAAAUCUAUGGGCUUAACCCAGAAACUGCAUUUGAAACUGUAGCUCUUGAGUGCUGGAGAGGUAGAUGGAAUUCCUUGUGUAGCGGUGAAAUGCGUAGAUAUAAGGAAGAACACCAGUGGCGAAGGCGAUCUACUGGACAGUAACUGACGCUGGGGCGCGAAAGCGUGGGGAGCAAACAGGAUUAGAUACCCUGGUA